CAGAAAGAAUCCAUCUAAUCGAUAUAGAAUCAGUCAUAAAACUAAAGGUUAUAAGCAAACUCUAAUCUUAGUUUAAUCAUAUAUUUCUCUUCAACAAAGCUUCAGUAGACAAGCAUACAUCAUAACUCUUAUCCAAAUAAAAACCACAACAGAAUUUACAAAAAUUCGGCAAGUUCCCUAUAAACAAGUGUCUUCACUCUCCAUCACACACCUGAUAUCCAUAGCAGCUCAUUGAGUACAUCCAUCUUUAGAUUUGAGAUAUUAUUGAACUGUCAGAGAGAGAUAAUAUGUAUAUUGAAAUCAAAAUUAUAAAUUGUUAGAGAAAGAUGAAUAGAGUGCAUUUUCUGGGUACCUUAUCCAGAUGCUGAUUCGGACUGUGUAGCUUCUUGUCUUGGUCUUCUUCCUUCAGGAGGAGGGCCAUCUCUUCGUCUUUCAUAUCUCUUGCUCACAUAUUUGGAAUCUCUCCGCUGCUUUGGUUGAUAAGUAGGAUACUUGCAAGGAAUUAUCUCCCCAUUUAUAUAUUUGUCCCCUAUAAGCCCGUGAGAUGCAAGAGAACAUCACAUGACAAUGAACUAGAGGAAUAAGCCAAAAUACAAUUGCUUGUCCAAGUUACCAAUAGGUCAAACAAACAAACCUCCGUAAUCCUUAUUUUUCACAUCUAUAUAUGAAUCUGGCAACACCCAAAGAACUCCAGGCAAUCCCUUGAAUUUCUCAGAGGUUUCCUCGGAUACAGUGCACUGAAAUCCAGUGUAGGUAGUGGUGCUAAAUGCAUACAUGUUCUUUUUUGCUUCUUCCAUGCUGCAUAACCAAGAUAACGCAUGUGAAAUUUAGCUGGAACAAUUGAUUGAGACUCAUACUCCAAGCUGAUUCAAUGAGGGACAUGCUCGCUAUUAAAACAAUCGGAAACAUACAACAUACAUUAACUAUGAACCACAAAACCAUCUUCUCCGCAACAUAUCCAUAGAAUAUGUCAUCUUCCCAUAACCAAAAACUAAUAAAAACUAUAAAAGAAUAAGGAGGACGAAGUACUGAAAAAAAUACUAAGAAAGGGGCGAAUGCUAAUUGGACCUUCCGAGUACAGUUGCUAGAGUAUUGAGGUACGUGUCAAUCAUUUGCUCUCUGGUAGGUGCAGGGUCUUUAGGGAACUCCAUGACAAUGAGCCAAUGAUUAUAGUCACAUCCUGGUAACAUUAUCGUCUCUCUCUGCUCAUUGAUGCUGCUUCUUUUUGAUGAGUAAUCACUAUCAUUCGCAGCGGCUCGAGUGAUGGAGAGGGAGCGAGCCUGGAGGCAAGUAACUGAGUUCACUCGGAGGGAAGGAGGAAGUAGGAGGCGACGUGAAGGAGAGGCUUUAGGAGAGAAGAAUAGGGUUUUAGCUGUUAGAGAACAAGGGCCGCAGAGAGUCGCCAUUUUUAGUUGGAGAUAGCCGCAGGGCA
rnacentral:misc_RNA from 1 species